rnacentral:rRNA from 1 species
UUGGGCACUGUCUCAACGAGAGACUCGGUGAAAUCAUAGUACCUGUGAAGAUGCAGGUUACCCGCGACAGGACGGAAAGACCCCGUGGAGCUUUACUGUAGCCUGAUAUUGAAAUUCGGCACAGCUUGUACAGGAUAGGUAGGAGCCUUUGAAACGUGAGCGCUAGCUUACGUGGAGGCGCUGGUGGGAUACUACCCUAGCUGUGUUGGCUUUCUAACCCGCACCACUUAUCGUGGUGGGAGACAGUGUCAGGCGGGCAGUUUGACUGGGGCGGUCGCCUCCUAAAAGGUAACGGAGGCGCUCAAAGGUUCCCUCAGAAUGGUUGGAAAUCAUUCAUAGAGUGUAAAGGCAUAAGGGAGCUUGACUGCGAGACCUACAAGUCGAGCAGGGUCGAAAGACGGACUUAGUGAUCCGGUGGUUCCGCAUGGAAGGGCCAUCGCUCAACGGAUAAAAGCUACCCCGGGGAUAACAGGCUUAUCUCCCCCAAGAGUUCACAUCGACGGGGAGGUUUGGCACCUCGAUGUCGGCUCAUCGCAUCCUGGGGCUGUAGUCGGUCCCAAGGGUUGGGCUGUUCGCCCAUUAAAGCGGUACGCGAGCUGGGUUCAGAACGUCGUGAGACAGUUCGGUCCCUAUCCGUCGUGGGCGUAGGAAAUUUGAGAGGAGCUGUCCUUAGUACGAGAGGACCGGGAUGGACAUACCUCUGGUGUACCAGUUGUCGUGCCAACGGCAUAGCUGGGUAGCUAUGUGUGGACGGGAUAAGUGCUGAAAGCAUCUAAGCAUGAAGCCCCCCUCAAGAUGAGAUUUCCCAACUUCGGUUAUAAGAUCCCUCAAAGAUGAUGAGGUUAAUAGGUUCGAGGUGGAAGCAUGGUGACAUGUGGAGCUGACGAAUACUAAUCGAUCGAAGACUUAAUCAA